rnacentral:rRNA from 1 species
CGCAAGAGAGAGUGGCGCACGGGUGCGUAACGCGUGGGAAUCUACCCCUGACUACGGAACAACCCAGGGAAACUUGGGCUAAUACCGUAUAAUGCCUCCGGACCAAAGAUUUAUCGGUCAGGGAUGAGCCCGCGUUGGAUUAGCUAGUUGGUGAGGUAAUGGCUCACCAAGGCUACGAUCCAUAGCUGGUCUGAGAGGAUGAUCAGCCACACUGGAACUGAGACACGGUCCAGACUCCUACGGGAGGCAGCAGCGAGGAACAUUGGACAAUGGGGGCAACCCUGAUCCAGCCAUGCCGCGUGAGUGAUGAAGGCCUUCGGG